rnacentral:rRNA from 1 species
UACGUAGGGUGCAAGCGUUGUCCGGAAUUAUUGGGCGUAAAGGGCUCGUAGGCGGUCCAUCGCGUCGGGAGUGAAAAGCUGGGGCUCAACCCCAGUCCUGCUUCCGAUACGGGUGGACUAGAGGUAUGCAGGGGAGAACGGAAUUCCUGGUGUAGCGGUGAAAUGCGCAGAUAUCAGGAGGAACACCGGUGGCGAAGGCGGCGACCUGGGUAGAUACUGACGCUGAGGUGCGAAAGCGUGGGGAGCAAACAGG